rnacentral:lncRNA from 1 species
GGAGAUUUGACUCCUUUAUUUUUUUUUAAAGCGCAGCUACGAGGGGAGGGCGCCAGGAGAAAUCCCCACUCGUUGCUGUUUCGUCUCCUUUUGAUGUCCGACUCAAUGCGAAAUUUGCGAACUCGCACCACCCCGAUCCGGCUUCGCUCCUUCUUCUUGAAGUCCUGGGUCGGACAGUAUCGCAGGUCCCUUCUCCCCUAUGCCCAGCUCGUUCUCCAGCACCAGCCGGGUCCCGGAUUCAGUUCUUCUCCUUUCUCAAAGUCCACCGCUGCCUCGUAUUUGCUGGACCAGACAUCCGAGAACUGGUCAGCUUCCAAUAGACAGCUGGAAACGGCCUGUCACGUGGCCUUGGGGUGCCAAUGUUCUGCCAUAGGGGUGUCAAGACCCUGGUAGCCGGAAAAAU